AUGGAGCCUUUCACCAAGCUGGCAGAGAAUGAGACUGCUCAGUUACAGAGAGCAGUAUUUGCCCAGUAUAUUAUGAUGAAGAAAUUAUUCAUGGAGCUAGAAGAGGAAAGGGAGGCUUCAUCAAGUGCUGCAAGCGCUGCCCUGUCAAUGAUUAGAAAACUUCAGAAAGAAAAGGAGGCAGAGAGAAUGGAAGCAUGUCAGUACAGAAGAAUGGCUGAAGAAAGGAUGAAUCAUAGUGACAAAGCCCUGGAAGUCGUGAAGGAAGUCAUGCAGCACAAGGAACUGGAGAUCUAUUAUCUCAGGAGCCAACUGCAGGUGUAUAAACAAAGGUUACUGGGUGUUGGCAUUGAUGAUUGUGAUAUUGCAGACGAGACGAUAACAAAAAGUAUACCUUUGUUUGGAAGCAGAGAUGUAGAGAAUCUUUGUUAUACCAUCAAAAGGAAUUUCUCUCUUCCAACUUUUCAGUUGAGCAAACGUUUUGCUGAAAUGGACAUGAACAAAAACAACGGAUCGGUUGCGUCAGCGAGGAGCAGGCUAGGUGUUUACAUGCACAACUCUAGUGAAAAUGAACUGGAACAAGUUUCCAGCGACCUGAAAGCCAUAGGUUCCAAGGAAAGCUUAGCAGCAGAUAUGGACAGUACUGAAAAGCAUGGGGAAGAACCAAAACCUCCAAGCAACAGUGGUACUGAACACUCUUGUCCAUCCGAAGGGUCUUCUCGUUCUUCCCCCUUCUCAAUGGCGGGGCAUCACACAGAUAUAUGCAGUCAAAGAGCAACACCGGUUGGCAAAGAUGUCCAAGACACGCUACAUCCUGAUCCACUCGGGUCAUUGCGUCCAGACCAUGAAAUGGAUAACACUGCUGACACACUAAAGCAUCCAGAACUAAGCAAGGCGCCGGCAGAAUACUCAUGUACUCCUACUAAACAUAGCAUCAGCACAAAGGAAUCUGAAACGCCUCACACGGUUGCUCUAAGAGAUAAAGGGUCCCAUGUUCUUUCGAAGUUUUCAGCGACGCGAAAAGUUGGCUCCAUGAAUAACGUUGACAGACAUGUCCGUGUAGCUGCGGCGAGUUCUACGCCACGAGCUGGAGUCGAGAGAACAAGAUCAAGGCUGAAGCGUGUUCAGAGUGAAAAGAUGAUUGAGCUAAAUGAUCCUAAGAAGAACAAGGAGCAGAUCAUAAUGCUCAAGGAGGUAUACGAGCAGCUUAACAUGAUAGAAGCACACAUGAGACCUUCCCCUUCACAGGAGACCCCUAGAAAUGACCAGUCGUUGGAUUCUGUUAUGGAGGCGGCUCUGUCCUUCUCCAUAUAG
rnacentral:rRNA from 1 species